AGUGUUGUACUUUAAUUAAAAGGUUAGAUUUGCAUUCUAAAAAUAGGCUUUCUGCCUCAACGCUG
rnacentral:tRNA from 1 species